CCUACGGGAGGCAGCAGUGAGGAAUAUUGGUCAAUGGCCGGAAGGCUGAACCAGCCAUGCCGCGUGAAGGUCAGUGCCCUAUGGGCGUUAAACUUCUUUUGUGCGGGAGCAAUAAUGGUCACGUGUGGCCAGACGAGAGUACCGUACGAAUAAGCAUCGGCUAAAUCCGUGCCAGCAGCCGCGGUAAUACGGGGGAUGCAAGCGUUAUCCGGGUUUAUUGGGUUUAAAGGGUGCGUAGGCUGGGAGGUAAGUCAGCGGUGAAAUGCCCCCGCUCAACGGGGUGAAGUGCCAUUGAUACUGCCUGGCUGGAAUGCGGAUGCCGUGGGAGGAAUGUGUGGUGUAGCGGUGAAAUGCAUAGAUAUCACACAGAACACCGAUUGCGAAGGCAUCUCACGAAUCCGCGAUUGACGCUGAUGCACGAAAGCGUGGGUAUCAAACAGGAUUAGAUACCCUUGUAGUC
rnacentral:rRNA from 1 species